rnacentral:rRNA from 1 species
UACGUAGGCAGCGAGCGUUGUUCGGAUUCACUGGGCGUAAAGGGUGCGUAGGUGGUAGGGCAAGUCGGAUGUGAAAUCUCCGAGCUCAACUCGGAAAUGGCAUUGGAAACUACCCAACUAGAGGGUCGGAGGGGGGACUGGAAUUCUCGGUGUAGCAGUGAAAUGCGUAGAUAUCGAGAGGAACACCAGUGGCGAAGGCGAGUCCCUGGACGACUCCUGACACUGAGGCACGAAAGCUAGGGGAGCAAACAGG